AUCUGAACAUAUUUUUUUUUGUUUGAUUUUCUUUGUCGUGUUUUGUUCUUGUUUUUGUCUCGUCUUAUCUUGUUCUUAUUGUUUCCGAUUUUGUUGUUUGAAGUUUGAAAUUUUCAGAUCUGUACAACAACCACAGCCACGACAUCUACGACCGUUGCCCCCCCCUCUCUCUCUCUCUCUCCCUCUCUCUCUCUCUCUGACACACACACACACACACACAGAGCUUUCAUGUUCUUGUUUGAUUUAUGUUUGUAUUUUCUUCUUUUUUUAAUGUUUUGCAGUUUCGUUCGCAGCACUCAUCUAUUCCAUUGAUUUGGUUUUUUUUUGUUCAUUUUUUGUGCAUUUAGAUCUAGAUUGUUCUUUAUAGUAUAAUCUUAAUUUUUUUUUUUAACAUUUAGAUUUGAACCAUUUAUUUGGUAUAUUUUUUUGUUGAUUUUUCAUACUUUUGGAUCAAGAUUGUUUUUUACGGUUUUUCAAUUUUUUUGUUUUUCGUUUUAGAUCUGAACAGAUUUGUUUUUAUAUGAUUUUCUUUGUCUUUUUUUGUUCUUGUUUUUGUCUCUUGUCUUAUCUUGUUCUUAUUGUCUCCGAUUUUGUUGGUUGAAGUUUGAAAUUUUCAGAUCUGUACAACAACAACAGCCACGACAUCUACGGCUGUGAAGCACCAUCCUCCCAUUCGUCGUGGUUAGCCGGUGAUAACGACUCAUCCUUCACGGCUUCUUUGUGUAUAUUUCAGCAUCUCGUGUCUAUUAAGGCACUUUGUUUGGGUCUCUUUUUUUUUUGUAAUGGAUAUUUUUUGGUUUGUUAUUUGUUCUUUGUUGGUUCUUCCUCACGUCGUGGCUUAGAUCUGCUGCCUAUGGCCGCGCAUAGCAGGCCAUAGGCAGCAGAUCGAAAUUUUCGAUUUUUGAUUUUUAUUUUUUUAUCUGAUCGAAAUUUUCGGUUUGUUAUUUGGAUCUGUUGUUUUUUGUUGAAUGAAUAUUUUGUUUUUCCUGAUGGAUAUUUCUGGAUUUCUUGAUUGAAUCUAUUGUUUGUUGAGUGUCCCUCACAUCGCCGUUCACAUCCGCUGCAAAUGGCCACUCGUGGGAGCGCACGGCUACGCCGAAAGCACACAACAACAAAUCAGAAGAUGAAAUUUCAGAAGAUUGAAUUUGUAUGAUGCGUUAAAUUUUUUUGUUCGAUUUACUCUGUAAAUAAAGAUGUAAAUAUGCAAACAUAGUUUUUAUC